GCCUAACACAUGCAAGUCGAACGGCAGCACAGGAGAGCUUGCUCUCUGGGUGGCGAGUGGCGGACGGGUGAGGAAUGCAUCGGAAUCUACUCUUUCGUGGGGGAUAACGUAGGGAAACUUACGCUAAUACCGCAUACGACCUACGGGUGAAAGCCGGGGACCUUCGGGCCUGGCGCGAAUGAAUGAGCCGAUGCCCGAUUAGCUAGUUGGCGGGGUAAAGGCCCACCAAGGCGACGAUCGGUAGCUGGUCUGAGAGGAUGAUCAGCCACACUGGAACUGAGACACGGUCCAGACUCCUACGGGAGGCAGCAGUGGGGAAUAUUGGACAAUGGGCGCAAGCCUGAUCCAGCCAUACCGCGUGGGUGAAGAAGGCCUUCGGGUUGUAAAGCCCUUUUGUUGGGAAAGAAAAGCAGCCGGUUAAUACCCGGUUGUUCUGACGGUACCCAAAGAAUAAGCACCGGCUAACUUCGUGCCAGCAGCCGCGGUAAUACGAAGGGUGCAAGCGUUACUCGGAAUUACUGGGCGUAAAGCGUGCGUAGGUGGUUGUUUAAGUCUGUCGUGAAAGCCCUGGGCUCAACCUGGGAAUUGCGAUGGAAACUGGGCGACUAGAGUGUGGCAGAGGAUAGUGGAAUUCCUGGUGUAGCAGUGAAAUGCGUAGAGAUCAGGAGGAACAUCCGUGGCGAAGGCGACUGUCUGGGCCAACACUGACACUGAGGCACGAAAGCGU
rnacentral:rRNA from 1 species